UGAGGAACACGCAAGGUUAUCUGCCACUGCACUUCAAUGUGAGUCUAGUGUUUCACUGGAAAACGUCUUUAUGGAUCAUCAGUAUACUUAGUUCCGAGCCCUCAGCAUCUCUGUGCCACCUGAACAGCAGCACCACCUAUCAGAUACUAG